CCUCCCCGCCGCUCCCGCCAAUCCGCCACCGCCCACCGCCCACCGCCCACCGACCACCGCCCUCGAGAGGGAAAAGCCUCGGCUCACACAGCCGUCCAGACCCAGUAUUCUACACCAAAAUCCCAGGUAAAUUGUCUUCGUCUCCCCGCUCUGCGGCGAUGGAAGAAGGAGGAGGUGCAGAGCACCGCGAAUUCCAUCGCCACGGCCUCGCGCAGCCGCCUCGCCCUUCUCCGGCAUCUCGCGAUCCAUGGCAGACGUUUGUUGGAACAAACAGAUUAGUCAACAAAGAAAAAUCAAGUGGCGGAGAAUCUUCCUAAAAUGAAAUCAAGACGAUGAGAUAAGCAUGGAGAUUUAAUGUGGUUUGUUGGAGAUGCUUAAGGUAGGAGAUGAACGACAGUUGGAAGGGGAUAAUGGAGGACAAUUAUAGCUUCACUAGAGCCUGGGGCGGAGAGGUGGGGGCCGUCUCUGCAGGUUCGCAGUGCAGCUGGGCCAAACAUCGCUUACAGUUUAAGCUGUAGCCUGUUAUGAAGUAAAAGCUGCGGAGGUACAGUUUCGGCCACUGUGUGCGGGAAGAUGAGAGGUCAAGCAGUAGCAAUUGGCACAUGUAGGUUCCACGGGGCACUCAGCGAGAUUCAAUCUUAACGUGACAUUUAGGCCGACCUUUUAUUAUGGAUCGCUGGGGGGAAGAAUCGUAAAAGUUUCGGGUGUCAACAAAUUGUGUCGCUGCGGAAAAGAGGGAUCAGACCAAAGCAGUGGCCUUGGUAGGGCAAGGUGUGAUAUUCACAUUGGUAUUAUCCUCGAUGACACAAAGGUUCAUGCCCAAGCACCCAUAUUUUAAUGGUUUAUAGUCGGGAUAUUUUCUUGAGUUGGGAUUUGCAUCUCCCAGAGGGAAGACCAGGGCGUACGCAUGCCACCUUUCGCGGCCGUGGGGGUUGAAAAUGGCUGCUCCUAUUGGAUGAUGGGAAAAGGUACCACAAGAUAACGUCUUGGGGCCUACCGCCGGCGACCACAUCGCAUCGGGGCAUGCCUUCGGUACCACACGCACUGAUGACUGCCAGUAAUCACUAAGCAGUGCAUUAAGGACGGUCGAUGCCGGCAGUUUCUUGUGUGUAAUAUAUAUACAAAACAGGCAGGGGGCAGCAAAAGCCAUAGACAGCGGAGGGACCACCAUGGAUGGUGUUCAUGGAUGCUGGACAGUUGCAGAUAACUCACCUAUCCUUUUAUUCUAUGCCGCAGCAUGGGUACUACUCCCGGUAGUACUUAAAUCCAUGGGAGGGCUCAGCACUGGAGUACGGCGGCCGCUCACCGGAUCCAAGAAGAAAAAACCUCUCCCAUUUCCUGUUGUGUUCGGAGGUUUUAUUUGGGUUUCCUUUUGGAUUUUUUGGGUUGUUUGCUACUUUUGUGGCGGAAUUUGUUCUUCGGUUGUGCAAUCUGCGAAGUAAUGUUAGCUCCUGGUGUGGGGAGGCCCUCGAGAGAUUGACAGAAGAGAGUGAGCACACGGCGUGAUGCCGGCAUAACAUGUAUGCCGUCUUCGCCGCGUGCUCACUCCUCUUUCUGUCAGCCUCUUUCUAUCAGGAGUUUACGUUACAUUCAGAUCCACUGGUGGGUAUGUAGAACUAAUUCGACUCAAUUUCAAUUCAAUAGUUCAUAAUUUUCCACACAAAAAGGAAGGUUAACCCCUGCUUAUGAGAGGAACUCAGCCACAAAAGAAAGGCAGAACACGCAUGCGACAUGUACUCUGGCUUUUCUCCGACUUUACCAUGCCACUUCCUUAUCUCUUUAGAUGUGUGCGCACGCAAAAAAAUGAAGUAAAAAAAAUGCUCUGUUGUUUUGAUCUUUUCAGUCAAGUUGCUCCUGGGAACUACUACCGAGGAGAGUGAUACGGAUGCUAGUGGUAAUUGUAAGGAGUGGCAGCUGUAGGCGCUUGUAGUACUGGAAUAAAUGAUUGGAUUUGUUACUUGUUUUUUUCAUCCCCAAAUUGUUUUAUCUUCUCUCUUUGCAGUUGUACUCGCCUUGGGAGCUGAAUCAUGGAGAUGCUGCCGGUACACUGCAACAUGCACCCUCUCUCUCUCUCUCUCACCCUAACAACCCCCCUUCUUCUUUCCUGUUGCCUUGUUUUCCAUGGAAGCAGGUUUUAGCCAUGGUGGUGGGGCUUCAUCAAGUUCUUGUUGGGGUAAAAAUGGAGCAUGGAGUAAGCUAAGAGAUGAGCCAUAUUUGGCAAGGAAGGUGGCCUCACUUUGCUUUUGCCAGAUCUAGUUUGCAUCUUAGGAUAAGAGCAUCAUGUUAAUAGCGAACGUAACAAGCUGCACCAUCAAUUUGGACAAGGUACCACUCCCAUGGUUUCUUUAGCCCCCUUUUGUUGGUUAUACUAUCUGGUGCCUCCUUCUGAUGGUGCGAACUGCAGCUGCUUUGGGUGUCAUUAAGAUGUGUUAUUGGUUGCAUCUCUAUACAAUGUAGUUUUCCUUGCUUUGACAUACAUGUGAUUUGGUCUAUGAGUGAGAAGUUGAUAAAAAUAAGUCUCCAGAUGACUAAUAUGUGUGCUUGGUUAACUGAAGCCGUUCUUCAGUUCUAGAAAAAAAAAGUCCAUCUUGCUUGUUGUUGAACACUGACUUGUGAAGAAGAAUCUGAAACGCGUCUAGUAACCUACCUAAGCACAGCCAUAUCACUUUGCGUGGAGAAAUAAGUGACACGUAAUAAAACCUAAUCUCUUGAAUGAUCUGGUUGAUGUGAUUCAAGGUGAUGCACGCUUUAGACAAGUUAAUUGCUAGUCUAACAUAUAUCCAUAGACCCAUUUUCCAAGCGAUGGUAAAUCAUUAAAUUGUCAACAUCCUCCUGCUAAGUUUGUUUGUGGUGGCAGUUUUUUCUAGCUAUCUACGUGUUAGUUUUCUGUGGUUCAAUAAAAAUGUAGUUAUUUCUGUGGAUACAUUGUGUUGAUGUGAUGUAUUAUUUCUUAUUCCUUCAUUUCACUAUGUUAGUUAUUAUUAUUUUAUCUUUUUAGCUACCUUACUCAUAAGCACAUUAGUUUUUAGCUACCAUGUUACUUCAUGUUGGCAUAUUUCUAUCUAAUUCAGAUUCACCUUGUUUUUCACAAAUUUCAACCAGCAUAUGUUUGCUUUCAUCGUCCCUUUCCCCUAGAUGUCCUCAUAUAAAAGCAUAGGAUAGCAUUACAUAUGUGGAAAGCAUAUGUGCGACGUGUCCAAGUUAACAAAUUUUGUGCAAAUUAUGGCAGAUUCAGCCAGGGGCGAUUCUACUGGGGGGGCUUUAACAGGCUCAAGCCCCCCCUCCAGCACUGUAAAAUUUGUUUCUACUACUAGUUUUAAGGCCCAGCCCAACUACUUGCAGGCCCAAUCCAACACAUAUUUGCAUGACCCAGGCAGCCCAGCCCGCCCUCCAUUUUUUUCUAGAUUCGCCACUGAUUCAGCUGUGGUUGGAUUAAAUAAUCUGGUUUACUAAUCUGAGUAUCUUAGUUAUCAUGCUAGAUUCGCCCUGAAAAUUGUUACCCAAUUUCAUGCGACAAGAUACAUAUCGUAGUGUUUAUUUUACUUGCUUCAAAAAUAGUAAUUCUAAAUCGUUUUGUGGCUUAUUUCAUCUUUGAUCUACCUUUUUUGAAUGCUUCUUGAAGGAAAGAGAUAUAAAAGGGAGAACUUUUAGACAUUGAACCGUAGUCAUCCUUAGAGUCUUACUAUCAAAUUGUGUUUAUAAUUCGACUUGUAGAUAAAUGUGCAUGCUUUCGAACUAUAUAUAAAAGGUGAUUUUCUGUGUAGCAUCCAUUUUAAGUUAUGGAACCACUGAAAUUGAGUUGAAGCUUCUUUAGAGUAUAUAUUAUUUACUAUUGAGCUGACUCGUAGUUUAUAUCUUGGAAAUCAGAAGUAGAUAACGAAAAUUAUCAUGAUAGUAAUUUAAUCAGGAAGUAUUUGCUAAUAUGUCGCAUACAUGUUCGAAGAAAUUAUGUUCAUUUUGAGUGUGAAUGAUUGCUCUGAUGUGUUGUCGCUGUGCUAUAUAGCUAGUUCGGGAAAUGUUUAACAAUUCUAGAGAUAAACAAUUGUUGUUUCAAAAGCCACCAUGAUAUUGAUGCCGGAAUCGCAGGGUCUAGCAAAUCUCACAUCGAUUGAUGGGCAUUGUCUUAAAAAAACUGUUUGUUUUGCAAUCUUAUUCAUAACUACUAUAACUUGUGAAUCUUAUAUAGUUAAUGGUAUUCCUCAAAUUUUCCCUUAUUGAGUUCAUUCUCUUUAUAGAACAUUCUUGAGCAUGUGUAUAUGACUAACCAGACAAUACUGUUCUCUCACCUUUAAAUGAUACACCCUCCGUAUCAAAAUAUAAGUCGUUUUUUGACACUGUUAUAGUGUCAAAAAACGUCUUAUAUUUUGAUAGAGGGAGUACUUAAUUAAAAUGAUAUCUUGUCGUCACUCUCUCUGGUGCUUUUUCCAAUACUGGAUACUCUAUUACAUAAUCUAUGUGUUGUUCAAAAUGCCUUAUAAAAAUGGCAUACAUUUAGAGAGGUGUAUAAUUGUACAUAUAGAAAGAGAAUAUAUGCGUGUUCAACUAUUGUAACUAACCUUACAUAAGCCAUCCAACAUGGGAAAUGCAUGUCGUUGCACUCAUGUUCUCUUCCAUUGUGUUUAUGAAUAAAUAUUUUUGUUUUCUGUACAGUAUUUUCUUAUUUUUAAACAAAGGCAGAAGUCUGCUAUAUAUAUUUUUUGAACAAAGACGCAAGGAUGUUUGCUAUAUUUCACUGAUUAAGGAGAAGAAAAAUAAAGUUAUGUACAAACAAGGCUGUAGCAGAAGCGCUGGGCUACUCUCCCAGCCUUAUAUGAAUUGGGCAUAGUACGCAGAGGAUGCGUAGCAGGAGUUUUCCGUAAGCUUCCGAAUGUCCUCACCUUUGUUUGUAGCUCAACAGGGAGAAAGUCUCUCCCAAAGGGUGAAGAACUCAUAGAUGUGGAAUAUUCACCUAAUUCAAGUUUAGGGAAUAUUAGUUCAAAUGGAUAGAUAAGAGGCAAUAACUGUGAGAAACUAGAUAUCUAUUAUGUUAAGGAAGAUAGGGUUGUCCUACUAUACUUGCAAGACUGUAAGUAAACAACUUGCAAUACUAGAUGAUACGCUACGUGUUUGCCGUGGAAUUGGAUAUAUAGUUUCCAAAUAUCGUGUAGAAUACUAAUUUGGUUCUUACGUUUUAAACUACUUGAGAAAAUUUUGCAUAAGAAAAAAGAAAAUUUUAACAUGAAAAGUUGUGCACGUCACAAUUAAAUGCAAUGUGAUUUAAAAUUCGCUUAGAAAUGCACUAAUGCAUGUUUGUGGUAGAGGAUUGUCAUGCAUAGGUCAUAUGGAUGCUAGUGGAUCAAGCUGGUAAAUCUAACAGCUACAACAAUUUUGAUGAUGUGGGAUUUGAGCAUGCAUGAUGAGAUAAUUAGAAAAAGUGAGGAUCACUCUCUUAGGUAUAUACUCACUCCGUCCCAAACUAAGUGUCUUGACCUUAGUAUAACUUUGUACUAACUUUAGUACGAAGUUGAGACACUUAUUUUGGGAUGGAGGAAGUGUAUGAUUAGGGAUAUUCAUUCCUGUGUUGGAACGGACAAUGCCAAAAACCAGGCAGAUAUGCCCUAGUUCGAAUUUCCUCUUUGCCAGUGAUGAGACUAGCUUUCAUAGGUUGGUGAAAACCGUAUUUGAACACCCUGUUAGUUGUAAACACAUGAAUGCAUAAGAUAAUAAAAAAGAUACACAAAGCUCAUUUCGUUUGUAGUGAAAUAUUAUUAAUGAAUAUCCAUUUCUAAGCCCAGGCUCGUCUACAUCCAGUGAAGAGAAAAUUCACACACAAAAAAUGUAACAAGCUAAGUCACAUGCGGAAUGAAAGGGAAAACAAAGAAAGCUUGCACCGGGGCAGCUUUACAUCAGUAAAUGAAGUUCUUAUAAUGAACCUUAUUACAUGUAAGUUUACCAUACACUCAGUGGCAAGAUGGCUCCUUGGAACCCCUAUUGCAGCUAAUUAUGUCAAUGUACUAUCUCUAAAGCAUUCCGGCCCAUAGAAGAAAUCUGAUAUAGUUCGCAGCAAAUAGCAAAUAGUUUUAGCUACUUUUGUUUGAAUUUUAUACUCAUAUCUCCCUAUGAUUCUAUUCAAGUAUACUGUGUGUACAAGUUUUUUGAAGACGAACUAGCUAGUAAUAUGUGCAUCAUGCAUCCACUCUCCAGCCAUUUUCAUGAUAUAUGGUAUUGGUCGUAACUACUCCCUCCGUUCCUAAAUAUUUGUCUUUUUAGAAAUUUCAAAUGGUGGCUACCACAUACAGAUGUAUAUGGACAUAUUUUAGAGUAUAGAUUCAUUCAUUUUGCUCCGUAUGUAGUCACCUGUUGAAAUCUCUAGAAAGACAAAUAUUUAGGAAUGAAGGGAGUAUAACUAUGGUUAGAAUAAUUCCUCUAUUUUUAUUUAAUUUUGGAUUUAUGUCGACUCGUGUAUGUGCAUGGCUUCAUAUAAGCCAUUAAAAUCAACUCCUUGUCAGUUUUGUUCAAUAAUGCUUAUGUAUUUGAAAACCACCAACUCUGGGAGGCAACUGGUGUAACUUAUCAGGAGAAUUACAAACAUAUGUGUUAUUGGUA